GGAUAAACCAGUGGGCAGACACAGUCCAAGCUUGGUAUUAAUCUGAGAUAUACAAAGAAAUUGAUUUCAAGAUUAACUCAGUGGCAUUUUUAUGAAAUGAAAGAGCUGCAUAAUUCCUAUUGGCACAUUUACAGGGGUACAUGGCUUAUGGAAUUGGAAGUUAAACAGACACUACAGGGGUAGGGAAUACAUGUAACAACAAUCAAAUGCCAAGGAUGACAGUGGGCAACCCACUCUUAUCUUCGGCAUUUGAUUGAUGUGCCAAGAGCAGGAAGAGCCUCCAAAAGGCCCUCAGUUGUCAGCUAAAAAUGCACUUUUUUAUUGAAAUGUUUUAUCUAGGGAUGUGUGGGUCAGGAAAAAUUCAACCUGUACCAGACCCUAACCCACAAAACCUUAAUGUGCACCCGGCCCUAACCCACUGAAUAUUGUCAACUUCUGCUCCUGCUUUAGGUUCCAGUAAAGGGAAACUUCAGGAGCAGAGGAAGAUGGUACAUCCCCAGUCUGACCCCCACCCAGCUUACAAUUUUGCCAAAUUUUCAACCCUACAGGUAUCUUAACCAAAUAGGCAGCACUCAGUUAUAGAAUUAACAGACGGGAGCUGAGUCAACAGGGUCCCUCCACUCCUGUACAUGUUAAUCCAAACGAUCAGCACUCUGUCAUUUUCAUUUAAAUGCCUUUAUUGUUACAAUAUGGGGCAGCAGCAACGUUUCAAGCUUAAUUGGCUCUUUAUCAAGGCUAAAGAGCCAAUUACUCUUGAAAGUUGUUUGCCCGUAUUGUGACAAUAAAGGCAUUUUAAUGAAAAUGAUCGUUUCAAGUUUCAAUCUUAACCCACCUGACCUAAGGGUAAACUUGCUGCACCGGCAGGUUGCGGGUCAACAUACACACCACUAGUUAGGUUGUGGGCUAUUUGUAUGCUUCAUAUUUUCACCAGUUGGAGGUGUUCUGAUCACUUCCAUCUACAUAUAUAUGGUGAUAUGUAUAAAAACCACCCCACGGGGCUACUGAUAGCUAGGUAUUAUAGCUUAUCUAGGGUGGAGAGACAAGCAUGCUGAAAAGUUGGUUUGAUCAAAGUACCUUUGCAGUGGUGCUAUUUUCCAAGGAUUUGGGCCCUAACAUUUCCCCUGGUGCCUAAUGCAGAAACUAAUCAUAUUAUAAGUUAUAUACAUAUCAAUAAAAGUAGCUCUUAAUUGUAUGAAUAGAAAUAAUCAGCGAGAAACAGCAGAAGUGAUAGUUUCCCUUUAAUACACUAUUAUAAAACAGUUCCAAAAAAAAAGAAUGUAAGAAAGUGAGCAGAAUUUACAUAGAGUAUGGAUGUGUUUGCUGUUAUAUAUAUUUCUUUUAGUGCAAGAACCAAAUGUGCCGGAGACAGCUGACCUUGCCAAUGUGUGAAAUUACGAGCUUUAGGUUGCACAAAUCAAUAAGCCCCAAGAACAAAUUAAUUUGAGAAUAGACAGCUACAGACCAUCUGGUACACAAUAUAUAAACCUGAUAAAGUCCCAGCUUCGCACAGUAACCUUCCUAAGCCGUACGCAAGGGAGGUCUCAAGAGGCUUUCUGUGUUUUUUUAAGGAACAUGAAAAAUAUGUUCCUAAUUUUGCUAAAAGAAGUGAAAACACCUUGCUUAUUUCUCUGCACUUACUCUUUGUACACCGGUGCCAGGCAAUAUGUUAUAUAUUAAGGGCGACCCAAAUAGAUGGGGGGAGAAAUCUAUUGAUGGGUAACCUACAGCCCCCCAAAUACUGUUGCAGAAUCCCCCGGGACCCGUUAACAUCUAUAGAACUGCAAACGACAAACCCUGAUGUGAAUACUGUGCAAUCUAGCAGUGUCUCAUAAUACUGACAAACUUUGUAUCUAAAUCUGCUGCCAGCUCCCACAUCCUUCAGCUAAGGUUAGAAACAGACCCCAAAAUUACUGAGAAAAGACAAGGGGUGCUUCAGCAAGAUAAUACCUCAAUGCCAACCACUAUAUACACUACAGGCCCCAGACUUUGACUUUCACUGAACAUCUAUUUAGAGAUCUCAGAUCAUUCUUACGUGCAAGAGUUGUUCAAGCGAGACCAGGAGCAAGUAAAGAAAGACUUGAGUGUCCACUACAGGAACUGUGGGUAAUGAUAGACUUGGGCUAAGUCUGGAGGCCUACAGUCCGGACAUUGAUAGUUCCUACAUAUACUAGAAGUCAGGACUCCAUAUACUCAGCUUUUUCGGGCGCAGGUGUUCACUUUCUGCAAGUAAAGAAAUAUAUAUUUCACCUUUAAGUUAACUUUUAGUAUGUUAGUUAGUAAUGGCCAGUUCUUAGCGCCUUUUAAUUUGGUCUUCAUUUUUUAUUUUAUAUAGAUUUUCAAUUGUUUGACUUUUUCUUCUGACUCUUUCUAGCUGUUAGACCCUAGCAGCCAAAAAAAGUUUGCUCUGGGAGCUUACAAUCUUAUUGUUAAUGUAUCUUAUUCAGACCCUUUCCUAUUCAUAUUCCAGUCUCUCAUUUAAACCUGGCCCACAUUAGCCUGGUUGCUAGGGUAAUUUAGACCCUAGAACCAGAUAUGUGCUGCAAUUCCAAACUGGAGAAAAGAAGUGAAAUAAUUUAAAAUUACAAGUAAAAACAAAUGGAGACCAAUUGCAAAUUUUGAGAAUAGUACUCUCUAUAUCUUAAAGUUAAUUCAAAGGUGAACAACCCUUUUAAUAAAGCUUUUAUUGGCAACAGCAUUAGACCAUGGAAGCAAGUGAGCAGCUUGCUUUCAUGGUGUAAGUUAUUGUCCAAUAAAAGCUUUCUUUUUAAAACUCGAGGAGUGCUCUUUAACCCUAUAUUUCUGUACUCAUAGAUCCAGCAUGUGGGAUAUUACUGUGACUAGGGACAUGGCUAAGUCCUAUGACUUACAACUCUGGGAAACUCUUUUCAAUUCCACGGGGGUGAGAUUAGUGCCAAUUUCCAAAACCCUUUGUCUGUGUAGGUCAAUCACAAUGUUUAAACACUAAAACUCAAACUUUUAGUCAAGAAUAUUCUAUUGAUCUUCAAACACGGUUGGCAUGACAUGUUGAUCAACCCAGGAGAGAGGUUAGUUGCCAUUUGGAACUCCAUACCCACAGCGAUUCCAAAAGAUCUUGAACAUUUCUGACUUGGGCUCAUUUCAUAGGCGUCCACAAGGGUUGGCACUUGACCCCCCACUGAGUUUUUCCUCAAGCAGGGCACCCACCCAACCUUGGAGACCUUUUUUAUAUCGGGAAGUUAUUAUCGUAUAGAGCUUUCUAGCAGAAUUAAGGGCAUAUUUUGUGGGAGAUCCUUUGUUCAAACAAGGAUUAUUUUUAUUUGCAGUAUUUCUUUCUGAAAAGCAAAAGCCUGCAACUGAACAGCACCACUGACUAAGAAAGUGUUUGAACUUUUCUGUCUAAAACUAUUUGAUGUUGGAUCCUUCUGGCUCUGAGAACUCAGCACACGCUGAACUGCUCCUAACACUGUUCCUAACGUAGUGCCAUGUCAGUGCAUGGAAUGGCUGUGCACCACCUGUUGCUCAAAAUGAAUAUUGUACAAAGUCAUUAAAGCGAAAUGAAAUACCAAUGCACUGCACAUGGUGAAGGAUUAAACUAAUAUACAAAUAGAUCAUUAGUAAAUUGUGCAUGGAAAUAAAGUAAAAAAAUCUCAAUCUAACUAGUAAGUAAAGGCUUAUUUAUGUACAA